rnacentral:rRNA from 1 species
UACAGAGGGGGCGAGCGUUGUUCGGAAUUACUGGGCGUAAAGGGCGCGUAGGCGGCCUCUUAAGUCGAACGUGAAAUCCCCGGGCUCAACCCGGGAACUGCGUCCGAUACUGGGAGGCUUGAAUCCGGGAGAGGGAUGUGGAAUUCCAGGUGUAGCGGUGAAAUGCGUAGAUAUCGGGAGGAACGCCGGUGGCGAAGGCGGUUCUCUGGGCCUUACCUGACGCUGAGGAGCGAAAGCGUGGGGAGCGAACAGG